rnacentral:lncRNA from 1 species
AUGCAGCAGACCCCAAACUUAGAAAUCCCACUGAUAAUACAAGUAACUUCUGUUCAUUUUCAAAAAUAUGCUUCACAAGAGGAAAUGGACAAAUGGGUUGAGAAAAGGGCUAAAAGAAAUUCGACUGAACUCUGGGAAUCAGCUAACAAAAUAACUCCAAUGCCACACCGCCCAUCUGCUCGAUUAGUAACGUAUCAUCAGCAAAGUCACAAGAGCCAGGCAUCUGGGAGGGAUCUUAAAUGCACGGGACUCUUCCCGUGCCCACCAGCAGAUGACUUAUGCAAGGGCAUCAGCGACAUGCUGUGCGUCAGCACAAUUCUUCCCACAUCACUGCCCAGGUCAGUACGAGAGCUUUCCCGGACCAGCUUUGCCAGGCGCCUGGGGGUAGUCGGACUCCGUAGAUUCAAGGGCUGUGGAAGAAACCCUGAGACUCAAAGUCAUAAGGACCUGGAAGGACCCACAAGAGGAGGUCUGCCACCCCACCUGCAGGGAGAUGUGACGGACAGAAAGGUGCUCCGGAGGAAAGACGGCCGUCACCGCACUGGGAGGCACCCUUUGCAGUGUUUUGAUAUGGCUGCCAAAGUGAAGGAGAAAUCCAGUGGGCUUCCUGCUUCUGAGGGAAUAGAGCAAGGUUCCCACAAGGACUUGAAACUUAAGUUUCCUAGCAUCGCUGAUAUUGGUACUUGAACUCAACUGAAAAGAGCUUUUCUGGUGAAGUUAUUAUUAUCAUAGACAGCCCUGCUGUCUUUUUCACAGUAGUGAUUAUCUCAAUUACUUUAAGACUCACAAUUUACCAGAAACAAACGUCAUUUGUAACGCUGCUGGUCUUUCCUUACUCCCAGUAAUAGCCUCCACAAUCACACAUUUCUGAUCAGCUCCAUACUAUACUCCCAGGAUAGACAUGGUCUGAACAUAGAGGUCCAACAAUCCAAUUAUCAGCAAAGUGAAGCUGGGACUAUCUUCCAGAGUAGUUUUUGGUAAUACUAAAGUAAAAGUAACUUACAUGCAUUCAAUACUAUUAAAGAAAAAGUUAUGCAUGACACUUGUUAAAGCACGGUAAGGCAGACUUUAUCCAAGAGGGGCCGUCCAGGCAAGGGACCACUGCGAGAGGGGCUCGCAGUGGGGAAGAGAGGUUGGGCUCAGCUCCGAAUACAGCAAGGAAACGUGGGAAUAUAUAGCCGAGGAGCAGCAUGGGGGUCAGCGGAUGGAAAUGACAAAGAAAACAUCAGGGAUAAGGAGGGAUUCUGGCUGAAAUGACCCAACAAGAGUCUGGCUGGAGGCAGGCCAGGGGGGAUCAGACAGUCUCUGGGGAGUGAGGAACCUGAUCAGAUACCGAGGGUGAUCAGAUGUCAGGGGUGGAGGAGGAGGGAUUCUGGCUACACUGACUUAGCAGGAAUCUUGCUAAAAUUGGACAAUGCGGAGACAAACACAGAAGCCCCAAAGUCAGGCCUAGUUGGCAAGAGAGUCAGAGGAGCCCGAGCAGAGCUUGGUCAAGGAGAGAACCUUUGUCAGUGCUCAAGCCCAAAAUCUGAUACAAAAUGUCUGAGGCUAACAGUUUUCCUAGCUGGAAUCGUGUCCCCUGGGCCCUCCGAUUGUGGAAUCUGUUUAUUAAGGGGCCUGUUUGGGGCCAUCCAAGGACAAAAAGACACCUAUUAGAUACAGCCCUUGGAGGAAUAGAACAGGCAAGGUCUAGCUAAUGACUUUUGAUGUUAAUACUUUGACUACCAAACUUGGUGCUUUGGGACAGUUACAACAACACAUGGUACAAUUGCAAUGGAAAUGGGGGGAAACUUGGAAAUGGACUAUUGGGAAUAAUUUAAUGGUGGACCCAAAACUCAUCACAAAGGUCUCAGAGGUGUGCAGCGGUCCAGCAGCUCGGCAAUUGGUCACAAGCUGCUCUGAGGUGUCACUGGGAGUUCAGCAUGACCAACCUGCACGGUAGGAGAAUUAUUGAUUUGGACUGAUGUGAGAAGCGGCCUAUAGGUGGGUUUGUGCUCAAGACAUAUUGUAAUUAGAGCCCUGGACAGUCAACACUGGAAACUACCCUGCCGAGGGGCCCAUAAGAAGGCUUUGACACUAGGUAAUGGCCAGGGUGUCUUUAUGUUUGGCAUCUGGAAAAUACUAUUUAGAAUGCUAGACCAAUUACUGAAGGGCCUAAAUUAUCAUGUAAGUGUGGACUUACUUGUGCAAUUGAUGGGAACUCAGGAGAAAGGUAUUGGGCUUUACAAGAAAAACUCUUAGAAAGUUGGACUAUUAGGCUCUGGUGGUAUGCUAUUCCUUAGGCUUAGAUUGACUUAAGACCUUGAGUAACUACAAAAUAAUACACAAAUAGUUGAUCGUGUGAAAGUGCAAGCAAUAAAGACAACACACAGUUUGUCGAAUUAAUACA